rnacentral:rRNA from 1 species
UACGUAGGGUGCAAGCGUUGUCCGGAAUUAUUGGGCGUAAAGAGCUCGUAGGUGGUUUGUUACGUCCGCUGUGAAAUCCUAGGGCUUAACCCUGGGCUUGCAGUGGAUACGGGCAGACUAGAGGUAGGUAGGGGAGAAUGGAAUUCCUGGUGUAGCGGUGAAAUGCGCAGAUAUCAGGAGGAACACCGGUGGCGAAGGCGGUUCUCUGGGCCUUACCUGACACUGAGGAGCGAAAGCGUGGGGAGCGAACAGG